UACGUAGGGUGCAAGCAUUAAUCGGAUUUAUUGGGCGUAAAGGGCGCGUAGGCGGGGAAGGAAGUCUGAUGUGAAAUUCCGAAGCUCAACUUCGGAGCAGCAUAAGAAACUCCAUUUCUUGAGGAUAGGCGGAGGAAGCGGAAUUCCACAAGUAGCGGUGAAAUGCGUAGAUAUGUGGAAGAACACCGGUGGCGAAAGCGGCUUCCUAGCUUAGACCUGACGCUGAGGCGCGAAAGCCAGGGGAGCGAACAGG
rnacentral:rRNA from 1 species